rnacentral:rRNA from 1 species
UCCAGCAGCCAUAUCACUCUGCAACUCACAACUGGCAACCCACUGAAGCUAAGCAGGUGUGAGCCUGGUCAGUACCUGGAUGGGAGACCUCCUGGGAAAAACUAAGGUUGCUAGGGGAC